UCUAACAGAGUGUGGUAGCUCACGCUUGUAGUCCCAGCUGCUUGGGAGGCUGAGGCAGGAGGAUUGCUUGAGACCGAGACGUGGAGGCUGCAGUGAGCCGUGAUCGUACCACUGGGAGAUGGAUGGAGCGAUCGUACCCCAGCCUGGGUGACAGAGGGAGACCUUGUCUCAAAAAAAAUAAUAAUUUAGGGUUCUCUAGCUUUUUACCAGGUUAUCUCAUUUCUUCUGUGUGGAGGAUGGAUACAAAUUAUGUGUUGACUGAUGCAAAGUAAUAGCACAAAGCAGUACCCUCUGACGUUGCGGUAGUUGGUGUGUCACCGUUUCCAGAAAGGUUGGAUUUUGUAACUUUGAAUCCCGAGAGUGGGAGUCUUGGCUGUUUCUGGACUGUAGAGUGAGAAGAGACCGAGAUGUGGUGAUGGCAGGCCAAGUGGAGGGUCAUAGAAGGUGCUGUUUGUGAGGCGCCACGGUGUUUCUAAGCUACACUUCUUUAUUCAGCAAAAACGCGGAUUCAGAAAGGCACCCGGGAAGGUUGAACCUCGAAGAUUAGACACAGGGACAAGUGGUGAAGCAUAUAAGAGACGUGCUUUGAUUCCUCCCGUGGAAGAAACAGCCCUUUAUCCUUCUCUCUGUCCUGUAAGGACUCUCAUAACACCAUUAUUUUUUACUGCUGGGUUGACAGGCUGUGCAUUUGAAUCAGCUGCUAUUUGGUAAUAUGAAUCACUGAAAUCCAGGGUCCAGAGUUAUUUUGAUGCUAUAAAAGCUGAUUGGGUGGCUAGCAUUUAGAAGGAAGAAGGAGAUUUCAGAAAGGAGGUGAAGAUAAACACCGCUUUCUUUGUUCUAGCUAAUCACGAUUUUAAAAAACUGAUACAUAAUAGAUGCACAUUUUCAGUGUACAUGAUGCGUACACAUAAUGUGUAGUAAUUAAAUCUGAGUAAUUGGAAUAUCACC